GGGCUUCAUCACAAGGCUGUUUUUCUCCAGGUAUGAUGUUGCUGUGGAAACACAAAGCCCAAAUCCUCAAAGAACACUCUGUUCUAGUCCCAGCUGCUGUAUCCAUCUGCGUUGUAUCUCAUUAGCAGAAGAGCCUAGUGAGAUAGGAGUUGCAUCUCUGCUCAUCCAGAUCUCUAGAGAAGGGAUCUACCCCUGGACUUUUUCCUGGAAAACUCUUCACGAAGCCAUAGGUAUGGAUGGAAGAAAAUGCACCAGUCCAAUAGCAGUAGGAGCCUGGGUAUUCUAUGCAUUUGAGUAUCUCACAUCUUCUGGAUCUGCCUAAACCCAGUCGCCAAGUACCACAGAUAUUGUGACUUACUGAUUCCCCCAGCUCAUCAAGCCUACCUCCGGUUGUUUUGUCACGUGGUGUUCCAGGUCUGCUGGAUUUUGCUGGGGGUCCACUCCAGAAGCUGUUUUCCUGGGUAUCACCAGCAGAGGCUGCAGAACAGCAAAGAUGGCUGCCUGUUCCUUCCUCUGGAAGCUUCAUCCCAGAGGAGCACCCGCCAGAUGCCAGUGGAAUCUCUCCUGCGUGAGGUGUCUGUCAACCCUUGGAAGCACCGGGGUCAGGGACCCAUUUGAGGAGGAAUCUAGAGAGGCAGUCUGUCUACAGCGGUUUUGUCAAAACUCCUUAUUGUUUAACUAAGAAAAAAAAAUCCCCCAAACAGUUUCUGACUUUUGUUUCCUUGGUUCAUCUUCCUCUCAUUGUAUCACAGGGCUACUUGAUUGUAUUUCAGUAUUCAAUUUAUAUAUUUCAUAUUCUGCUGAAUGCAUAGAAUAUAAAUUAAAAAUUCUUUUUCUCAAGCAAGUCA
rnacentral:lncRNA from 10 species